AUUCCAGCUCCAAGAGCGUAUGCUAAAGUUGUUGCGGUUAAAAAGCUCGUAGUUGGAUUUUUCGGUGUGUCCCGAGCGUGGGCUACGGUCUGUGUUCGGACUCGCUGUUUUGCGGCGCUCUUCUGCUCGCAGAGGGGCGCAGCGUUUACUUUGAGCAAAUUAGAGUGCUUCAAGCAGGCUUUAUUGCCUUGAAUAAUUUAGCAUGGAAUGACAGUUAGGACGCGGGUUCUAUUUGUUGGUUUCUGGAUCUGUGUAAUGGUUGAUAGGGGCAGUUGGGGGGCAUUAGUAUUCCGUAGCCAGAGGUGGAAUUCUUAGACUUGCGGAAGACUUUCUACUGCGAAAGCAUCUGCCCAGGAUGUUUUCAUUA
rnacentral:rRNA from 1 species